rnacentral:rRNA from 1 species
ACGAGCGCUGGCGGCGUGCUUAACCCAUGCAAGUCGAACGGAAAGGCCCUGCUUUUGUGGGGUGCUCGAGUGGCGAACGGGUGAGUAACACGUGAGUAACCUGCCCUUGACUUUGGGAUAACUUCAGGAAACUGGGGCUAAUACCGGAUAGGAGCUCCUGCUGCAUGGUGGGGGUUGGAAAGUUUCGGCGGUUGGGGAUGGACUCGCGGCUUAUCAGCUUGUUGGUGGGGUAGUGGCUUACCAAGGCUUUGACGGGUAGCCGGCCUGAGAGGGUGACCGGCCACAUUGGGACUGAGAUACGGCCCAGACUCCUACGGGAGGCAGCAGUGGGGAAUAUUGCACAAUGGGCGGAAGCCUGAUGCAGCAACGCCGCGUGCGGGAUGACGGCCUUCGGGUUGUAAACCGCUUUCGCCUGUGACGAAGCGUGAGUGACGGUAAUGGGUAAAGAAGCACCGGCUAACUACGUG